CCUACGGGGGGCUGCAGUCGAGAAUCAUUCACAAUGGGGGAAACCCUGAUGGUGCGAUGCCGCGUGGGGGAAUGAAGGUCUUCGGAUUGUAAACCCUUGUCAUGUGGGAGAAAAUAAAAAAGAUAGUACAACAAGAGGAAGAGACGGGUAACGCGGUGCCAGCAGCCGGGGUAAUACAGAGGUCUCAAGCGUUGUUCGGAGUCACGGGGGGUAAGGCGUGCGUAGGUUGUAUCGUAGGUAGUGUGGGAACGGCGCGGGCUCAACCCGCGGGCGGCUCAUGAUACUGUAAGACUAGAGUACAGGAGAGGGAAGCGGAAUUCCCGGUGUAGCGGUGAAAUGCGUAGAUAUCAGGAGGAACACUAGAGGCGAAGGCGGGUUACUGGACUUUAACUGACGCUGAGGCACGAAGGCGAGGGGAGCGAAAAGGAUUAGAUACCCCGGUAGUC
rnacentral:rRNA from 1 species